GUCCAAAACGCGUUUCGCCAACAACCUGGCUUCCUCAGUUGGUUGAAAAGUGGUCCGGCUUCUUUUGGAUGGAUUUAUACCCCCAUUGAUUUUAUUGCGUCCAUGUGACCGGAAGUAAUUGUCAUGGAACGCACAAUCCGUCCGGUCAUGUGUCCCAAUACUCGCGAACCCGGAAGUGCAGUGCCCCUGCAAUCAUGUGGCUUAACUUCCUGUCCUGUGGACGCAUUCAUGCGUUCCUUUUCCCUUUUAAGGUCGUUAUAGGUGUUAUAACACUCUAUGUUAUAUCAUUGCAGGUCAUACACAAUCCCUCAAAGAAAAAAGAAAUAAUAAACAGCAGCAGAAGUCCAAUUUAUCCAAAAUUUCAAUAAACCAAAGACAAUCUUUAAAAUUAUGGGCAAACUAUAAAGUGAUC